rnacentral:rRNA from 1 species
GACGAACGCUGGCGGCGUGCCUAAUACAUGCAAGUCGAGCGAAGUUUUUCUGGUGCUUGCACCGGAAAAACUUAGCGGCGAACGGGUGAGUAACACGUAAAGAACCUGCCUCAUAGACUGGGACAACUAUUGGAAACGAUAGCUAAUACCGGAUAACAGCAUUAACUGCAUGGUUGAUGUUUAAAAGUUGGUUUUGCUAACACUAUGAGAUGGCUUUGCGGUGCAUUAGCUAGUUGGUGGGGUAAAGGCCUACCAAGGCGACGAUGCAUAGCCGACCUGAGAGGGUGAUCGGCCACACUGGGACUGAGACACGGCCCAGACUCCUACGGGAGGCAGCAGUAGGGAAUCUUCCGCAAUGGGCGAAAGCCUGACGGAGCAACGCCGCGUGAGUGAAGAAGGAUUUCGGUUCGUAAAGCUCUGUUGUUAGGGAAGAAUGAUUGUGUAGUAACUAUACACAGAGAGGACGG